rnacentral:rRNA from 1 species
UACGAAGGGUGCAAGCGUUAAUCGGAAUUACUGGGCGUAAAGGGUGCGUAGGCGGUUGUUUAAGUCUGUCGUGAAAUCCCCGGGCUCAACCUGGGAAUGGCGAUGGAUACUGGGCAGCUAGAGUGUGUCAGAGGAUGGUGGAAUUCCCGGUGUAGCGGUGAAAUGCGUAGAGAUCGGGAGGAACAUCAGUGGCGAAGGCGGCCAUCUGGGACAACACUGACGCUGAAGCACGAAAGCGUGGGGAGCAAACAGG